rnacentral:rRNA from 1 species
AUUGAACGCUGGCGGCAUGCCUUACACAUGCAAGUCGAACGGUAACAGGUCUUCGGAUGCUGACGAGUGGCGAACGGGUGAGUAAUACAUCGGAACGUGCCUGGUAGUGGGGGGUAACUACUCGAAAGAGUGGCUAAUAUCGCAUGAGAUCUACGGAUGAAAGCAGGGGAUCGCAAGACCUUGUGCUACUAGAGCGGCAGAUGGCAGAUUAGGUAGUUGGUGGGAUAAAAGCUUACCAAGCCGACGAUCUGUAGAUGGUCUGAGAGGACGGUCAGCCAAUCAGGGACUGAGACAGGGCCCAGACUCCUACGGGAGGCAGCAGUGGGGAAUUUUGGACGAUGGGCGCAAGCCUGAUCCAGCAAUGCAGCGUGCAGGAUGACGGCCUUCGGGUUGUAAACUGCUUUUGUACGGAACGAAAAGCCCUGGGUUAAUACCCUGGGGUCAUGACGGUACCGUAAGAAUAAGCACCGGCUAACUACGUGCCAGCCGCCGCGGUAAAAC